rnacentral:snRNA from 1 species
GUGGGAACUCAGCAGCACAUAUACUAAAAUUGGAACGACACAGAGAAGAUUAGCAUGCCCCCUGCCCAAAGAUGACACGGAAAUUCGUGAAGGGUUCCAUAUUUUU